UGGAUGAGCAGCGAACGGGUGAGUAACGCGUGGGGAAUCUGCCUUUGAGUGGGGGACAACAUUUGGAAACGAAUGCUAAUACCGCAUAAAAACUUUAAACACAAGUUUUAAGUUUGAAAGAUGCAAUUGCAUCACUCAAAGAUGAUCCCGCGUUGUAUUAGCUAGUUGGUGAGGUAAAGGCUCACCAAGGCGAUGAUACAUAGCCGACCUGAGAGGGUGAUCGGCCACAUUGGGACUGAGACACGGCCCAAACUCCUACGGGAGGCAGCAGUAGGGAAUCUUCGGCAAUGGACGAAAGUCUGACCGAGCAACGCCGCGUGAGUGAAGAAGGUUUUCGGAUCGUAAAACUCUGUUGGUAGAGAAGAACGUUGGUGAGAGUGGAAAGCUCAUCAAGUGACGGUAACUACCCAGAAAGGGACGGCUAACUACGUGCCAGCAGCCGCGGUAAUACGUAGGUCCCGAGCGUUGUCCGGAUUUAUUGGGCGUAAAGCGAGCGCAGGUGGUUUAUUAAGUCUGGUGUAAAAGGCAGUGGCUCAACCAUUGUAUGCAUUGGAAACUGGUAGACUUGAGUGCAGGAGAGGAGAGUGGAAUUCCAUGUGUAGCGGUGAAAUGCGUAGAUAUAUGGAGGAACACCGGUGGCGAAAGCGGCUCUCUGGCCUGUAACUGACACUGAGGCUCGAAAGCGUGGGGAGCAAACAGGAUUAGAUACCCUGGUAGUCCACGCCGUAAACGAUGAGUGCUAGAUGUAGGGAGCUAUAAGUUCUCUGUAUCGCAGCUAACGCAAUAAGCACUCCGCCUGGGGAGUACGACCGCAAGGUUGAAACUCAAAGGAAUUGACGGGGGCCCGCACAAGCGGUGGAGCAUGUGGUUUAAUUCGAAGCAACGCGGAGAACCUUACCAGGUCUUGACAUACUCGUGCUAUUCCUAGAGAUAGGAAGUUCCUUCGGGACACGGGAUACAGGUGGUGCAUGGUUGUCGUCAGCUCGUGUCGUGAGAUGUUGGGUUAAGUCCCGCAACGAGCGCAACGGCUAUUGUUAGUUGCCAUCAUUAAGUUGGGCACUCUAACGAGACUGCCGGUGAUAAACCGGAGGAAGGUGGGGAUGACGUCAAAUCAUCAUGCCCCUUAUGACCUGGGCUACACACGUGCUACAAUGGAUGGUACAACGAGGCGCGAGACAGUGAUGUUUAGCUAAUCUCUUAAAACCAUUCUCAGUUCGGAUUGUAGGCUGCAACUCGCCUACAUGAAGUCGGAAUCGCUAGUAAUCGCGGAUCAGCACGCCGCGGUGAAUACGUUCCCGGGCCUUGUACACACCGCCCGUCACACCACGGGAGUUGGGAGUACCCGAAGUAGGUUGCCUAACCGC
rnacentral:rRNA from 1 species